GCCUCCGUAGCUCAGAUGGUUAGAGCAGCCGACUCUUAAUCGGCGGGUCGCAGGUUCGACUCCUGCCGGGGGUAC
rnacentral:tRNA from 3 species